rnacentral:tRNA from 1 species
GCCCCUGUAGUUCAAUGGAUAGAACAGAGACCUCCGGAGUCUCAGAUGCAGGUUCGAUUCCUGCCAGGGGCA